AAAAAAAAGCAAAAGAUGUGAUAGGCUGAAAAUGGCCCCACAAAAUGUUUGUCUCUCUAGAACCUGUGAAAUUUUCAUCAAGGAAUUUUGCAAAUGUUAAGGAACUUGAGUUGGAAGAUUAUCUUGGAUUGUCCACCUGGAGCUACUGUACCACAAGGAUUCCUAUACAAGGGAGGUAGGAUGGGUUAGGGUUAGAUCCAUGAAAUCUGAUGAUGCUAUGCUACUGGCUUUAAAUAUGGAGAAAGGGGACCGUAAGUCAAAGGAUUCAUGUGGUGUGAUCCAAAAUAAGAUAAAUGUUUAAAAUUUUAAAAUUCAUUACAGUAGAUAUUGCCAUUAAUCUCCCUCAAAAUAUCCCCCCUCACUUUAAACACUUAUCCCAUCAUUCUUGCCACUUUCUGAAGCAGUUCUGGAAGUCAUCUUUCACAAGCAUCCUUUUGUGGCUACCUUGAUGUUCUGAAUUGAUUCAAAACAUUUAUAGCAAUAUCUGUCAAUAAAAACAUUAUGCUGUGUCCUCAUCUACCUUGCUCACUGGAUCUGGCAUCAUGCAAAUUCUGGCUUUUCUCCGAAAUCAAAAUGAACAUGAAAGGUAAAUGUUUUGAAUCAAUUCAAGACAUUGAGCCAGCCCCUGGAGACUGGAAAAGGCAAUGAAACAUUCUCCCCAACAACUUCUGGAAGAACCACCUCUGUCCACAUCCUGACCUCAUCCUGGUAAGAGUGAUUUUGAAUGUUCAGGACUGUAAAAGACCAUUUUUUGUUUGUUUGUUUGUUUGUUUUAAGUCAUGAAGUUUGUGGUGAUUUGUGACUCCACCAAUAGAAAAAUCAAUAAAAUUUGCUAAAGUUCCAUUUAGGAUUUUUAUAUCAUGUUCAUGAGGGACGUUGAUGAGAAAACACAGAAAACUGAUUCAUUUAAAAAUUCAUCAGUGUAAGAUGCCAUAUGAAUGGGCUGAAGAAUAAACAUGACAUAAACAUAUAACUUGAUAUAUGAAAACCGUUUCACAAAAUUCACCCAUGCAUUAAAAGAAAUAAACCCCUCAAAAUUAGGAAUAAAAAGGAAGUUCCUUAAUUUGAUAACAUCUUCAAAAAGCCUACAACUAACACUACUUAAUGAUGAUGACAAUUGGGAGGCUGAUGCUGGAGGAUCACCAGGAGUUCAAGGCCAGCCUGAGCUACAUAGCAAGAUCCUGUCUCAAAAAGGAUGCCAGCAUUCCUAAUAGGGAAACCUAGCCAGCAGAGUAAGGCAACAGAAAUAAAAAGCAUACAGAAGAUUGGAAAAGAAGAAGUAAAGUUAUCUCUAAAGCAAAGAAGCAAACCUAAAGUUCAGCAAUAUCUCAAAGCAUAUGAUCAACAUAAAAAAAUCAAUUGGAUGCCUAUAUACUAGCUAACUAGUAAUCUAUAGAAACCAAGAUUUAAAAUACAUAUUUUAAAUAUGUAUUUAUAUUUCAUAUGUAUUCUCCCAAAAGAAAUACAUAGGUGUAAACUAACAAACUUGUACAGUAUUUAUAUACCAAAUCUACAAAACACUGAUGAAAGAAAUCAAAGACCUAAACAAGACAGUGUGACUGCCAAACACUCAAGACAAUAACAAUAUCAAUUGUUUUCAAUUUGACAUACAGAUUGAACAAAAGUCCUAACACCACAGCAAGAUGUUUUGAAGGUAAAGACAAGAUUCUAAAAUUUAUAUGGAAAGGCCAAGAAACUAGAAUUGUUUUCAAAAAUUUUAAGGAAGAAUAAAAUGGGAGAAAUCACUACCUGAUUUCAAGAUAAGUAGCUGCAAUAAUCAGGAGUGCAUGGUAUUAGCAGAAGAAUGGAUACAAUGGAAUAGAAUAGAGAACCAAAUACAUACCCAUGUGAUUAUGCUCAAGUGAUUUUAGACAAGGGUUCAAAAGUAAUCUAGUAGAGGACAAUAGCCUUUUCAACAAAUGAUGCUGAAGAACUUGGACAAUCCUGGCUUAAAUAUCUUGACCUUAACUUCACAGCAGGACAGAUUAUUUAAUGUAGGAGAAGAAAUCCUGGUGUGCUAUUGUACAGUAGAUGGUGGUUAAUUGGUCAACCUGAGUAAGGAACGCCCCUCUGAGUUAAGUCCAUAAGAUUCUGGAUGCCUAAGACCCACUUUAAGGAGGAUUGUUGUUGGAGCAAUAUAAAAGGAGAACAGUAAGGAAGGAUUUCAGCUGAUUUCCCUUGGAAGAGCUUCAUUGAGGCUGAUUUUCCUCCGAGUUGCGUCAGCUGUUCUCUUCGGAGGAGCUCCUCUCUUUCCCUUCACCUUAGACAUCAUCUCCAGGCUUUUGGCACGGACUCUUCAGCUUCCCGCAGCGACCCUUUGACUUCUUUGCCUGACCCUUUGGUCUUCCCUCACGGAUCCUUCGGCCUCCUGAUGCGGAGCCUACGUUGCUGUGGGCUCACAGGCCUCAGCUGGAUCCUUCAGAUUUCUAGCACACAGACAGAUCUCUUGCACUCUUUUACAUUUGAAUCUGCGUGACCACUGUAGGCCGAUCUUGUAAAUUUCUGUGUCCUACAUUAAAUCUGAAUCACAGCGUGUGCUGUCUUUUGAGGAGCCUUGCCCCAACCUGCACGUUCUUCUGAGCCCUGACUAAUACCGUGAUGUACUAUUAGUUUAUAAAACUAGAAAAAAGGACAGAAUUUUUUUUUAAUAAAAAUGAUGCACUGCCUGCCUCGCAAGCCCAAGGUCCCGAAUUUGAUCCCCGGUACAAAAAAAAAAAAAAAAGAUGUUUGAGCAGAUAGCUAUGUUUAGCCUUAUUUGAGCACUGCACAAUAUACACAUGUAUCAGUACAUCUCAUAGAAUUUUAGUGUUUAAAAUUUUUUUAAACAAAUUAUCUCAAAAUGAGUAUACAUUUGAAAGUGAAAUGUAGACAGUAACAUGAGAAAAUCUUCAGGGCCUAAGGCUUUGUGAAGAAUUGCUAGACAUGACAACAAAACAGGAUGUGUAAAAGAAAAAAAAAGGUAAAUGUGAGUUCUCCAAAAUUUAAAAGUUUUAUUCUGAAAAUCAACAAGCUACACAGAAAACAUAUUCACAAAUCACAAAUUCAACAAAAGACUUAUAUCUAAAAGAAUUCUCAAAACAUUAAUUCAACAGUGAAAAAAUCCUUUGUGAGUUAAAUUCAUAUCCUGGUAAAUUACAAAACAAGUGUAUAGCCUAUCACCACUGUAAGCAAAAAUUGUCAUGAUUGCAUGUGUUUCAGAAUAUAUGAUUAAGGAAAGAGUGAAUUUUACUUUUCAGCAUGAACCCUUAGUCUUCUGUUAAAACCAGCUGUACUCAAAAUUGUGCAGGAUUCUGUCCAGUUACCCCAAAUUAUCUUUGGUUUUAGAGAAUCCAAAAUGAAAAUUACUGUAACAAAUAUAUAGCUACAAAGAGAAAGGUUUUCUUUUUGCUCCCAAAGUAACUAAAUGAAACAGAAAGCAAAAGUACCAGAAAACCUUCUGAGAGAGCCCUGUAUUGUUCUAAAUGUCUGUGUUCAGGAAGGGUUGUGACAUGCUGGCCAAAGGAGUUGUUAUUUUUAAUUCCUACAUUUUUAUACACAUAACUACUUUUGAUAGUAACUAAAUUUAUAUGAAUGAUUUAAAAUAAGUUGACUAUUUUCUUGCCUGUGACAUGAAAGUUUUCAUCAAAUAGAUGAUGUUUUUUAAAACCUCUUGGCUAACCUUUUAAUUUUUAAAUACAGACAUAUAUAUUUGAUUUAAUUUUUUUCUGUUCCCUAGUGAACUGAGCACUGCAAAGAUUUCCUUUCCACAGUUCCACCCUCCUGUUCCCUCUGAUGGACCACAGCCCAUAAAACCACCAUCUUGAUGUCACUCUUCCAACAGUUUUGGCCACAUCUCUAUCCACCUUGCAAAAUGACUUCCAGGCCAUGUUCUCUGGCAGCCUCCCCUUCAUCAGAGAAACCUUGCAGCAAGGGAUUGAACUCUGGUCCUUGCACUUGCGCAGCAGGCAGCGAAACCACUGAGCUAAAUCCCUGGUCCUACUUAAGUGAGGCUUUCCAGGAUAGAAGUUGCCUCCCAAGCCUGAGCUCUAAAAUGAGUACAGAUGGUACAGAACUGAACCCAGCCAUCAGAAAGGAGCUGAGCCUGGCCAGUCCUAUAACUUGACACCGAGCCACAGAAAGAAGUUCAACCAAGACCAGCUGAUUUUCAGACAGGACAUACACUCCUGAGUUAAGCUGAUGCUUAUCUUGUAUACCACUGAGAGUUUAUGAUUGUUUGACAUACAUGAUUAUUGUUUAACUAAGUUGACAAGUUAAACUCCCCUGGACAAUGUGCCUCUGUGGCCUUCUCCUAUUGUUUUUUCCUUAAUGCUCUCUACUAGCAACUGCAAGCAUCAUUUUGAGGAUAACAGCCAUGGGAUAGAAAGUUGGAAGGAACCUGGGUCCUGGAUGACAGCAAGGCCACACUGUAAGCCCUGAUCUGCCUAUAUCCAGACUACUUUAAGUUAAAGUCAUUAUUAUUUUGGGUACUCUGCUGCUAGCUAUCACUUCUCCUUCCUUGCUUUUACUUUCUCUCUCUCUUUUUUUUUUUUUUGGUACCGGGGAUUGAACUCGGGUCCUUCUGCUUGCGAGCCAGGCAGCUAAACCACUGAGCUAGAUCCCUGG